rnacentral:lncRNA from 1 species
ACCAGUGUAGUAAGGUAACACUACAGCAUCUAGAUACAGACUUGCAUGCAAAAUCCCAGAAAUUGUAGAUGCUUCAAAGAAUGCAUAGUUGGUGUUCUUAUCAGCUGCAUUUUCAAAUGCCAGAGCAGAAACAUGAACCAAUUGGAGGAUUGCAGGACCAGCAAUAGAUAAAGGAAAUACAGUGUUAAUCCUUUGACCCUUUGCCAGUACCAAGAGGAUUACAGGAAGAGAAACUGGACCAGAAGGUAGUAAAUAUCUUUUUGAUUGAACUAAAUCAUGUCUCCCUCUUCUUGAUGUACUUACCACCAUGAUUAUGAUUGUUGCAAGAUAUGAAGCUGCUGUGAAGACAAAAACCAGGAUAUCGACAAGAACUGGAUAAUUCCCAGGAUAAACACUUUGGCAGAAGUAAUGAAAGGGGCAGCUGAU